UACGGAGGGGGCUAGCGUUGUUCGGAAUUACUGGGCGUAAAGCGCACGUAGGCGGCGCAGCAAGUCAGGGGUGAAAUCCCGGAGCUCAACUCCGGAACUGCCUUUGAAACUGCAGUGCUAGAAUCCUGGAGAGGCGAGUGGAAUUCCGAGUGUAGAGGUGAAAUUCGUAGAUAUUCGGAAGAACACCAGUGGCGAAGGCGGCUCACUGGACUGGUAUUGACGCUGAGGUGCGAAAGCGUGGGGAGCAAACAGG
rnacentral:rRNA from 1 species